AAACGACGGAGUCUCGGGCCGGAGCCUUGCGGGAUUUGGUUUCUUGUGGACCCUGGGAAUUCCAGUUUUCUGCUCAUGAGAAAGCCUAGUUUUCCAGACUUUUGACUUUUCUUGGUCCUCUGUGACCAGGUCUGUCGAAGAGGCAGAGAAAGGAACAAAUAACAGCCACAGCAUCAGGCAUGCUGGUGCACUCCUGUACUCCCAGCAGUGAGGAUCGCCGUGAGUUCCAGGCCAGCCUGAACUACGUAGCGAAAUCUUGUCUCGGAAAGAAAAAAGGAAGGAAAGAAGGAAGAAGGAAGGAAGGAGAAAAAAUAAAAACAGCCACAGAGGUCAUGACAGAAGUGUGCCCAAAGUACAUUAAAAAAAAGAAUUUACGUCGGGGUGCUUUUUAAAGAUGACCUUUGAUAUUCUUCAGGGGAUAUCAGCAGGUUCAUUUAAUCACAACCUUCCCGGUCCCUGUUUCCAGGACUGUUACUGUCUCCCAAAGAAACGUGAUGAAAGACGUCAAGCACUAGUAAGAGAAACUUGGCUGAGGGUCUUGGCUUUACAUGUGUCCAACAAUCAGUGGAACUAUGGUAGUGACAAUUAUAACCCUGUGAAAGUACUACCACAAGGUACUCUGUUGCUCAAACAACAGUUCUUAGAAAAUCUGUGUAAAGAAUGUGAAAAGCAAGGAGAUUUAAAAAAAACAAAGAAGAAGUUGGGAAUAGUGUCACGUCUGUGAUAUCAGCACUAAGGAGGCUGAGGCGAGAGGAAUGCCAUGACUUUGAGGCCAGCCUGGGAUACAUAGUGACUUCAAGGCCAGCUUUAAUUAUAUAGUGAGACCCUGUCUUAAAACAAGCAAACAGAAAACAGUAAAAAACAAUAGGCAAGAGUUUGGAAAUGCUUAUUCCUAGAAAAAGAUCCAGUACCCAGUGUCUGAGUUAUAGAAUCUAGUAUGUGACACCUGCCCUUCCUCAACUCUCCAGCUUGAAUUUCUGAACAGCAUUUUCACUUUAUCCCCUUUGCUUUCUUCUUCUUUUAACCAUUUGUUUAUUCCCUGUAAAUUGUGCUAAUACAGAGUAUCUGAUUCACAGAAAGGGGCACUGGAGUCAACUUCUUGGGAAGCAGAGGCAAAAGGAUUGUGAGUUUGAGGCUAGUCAAGCCACAGCAAAAUCCUGCUGCAGGGAGGCUGGGACAGUGGGUAUCUGGCUUCCAACUCUUCGAGAUAGUAAUGUACUGUAAGCAAUUUCACACACACUGUCUUCAGAAGAUCCUGAUGUCCUUGGAGUACAACAAAUGCUGAUUCCAUAUGUUCUUUGUCAUUCCUUCUCAAGCUUUACUGUGAAGAACGGAUUACCUGAGGAUCAUGUUAAAAGUGUAGAUUCUCCUUCAGCAGAUCAAAAAGAGUUGGGAUGGGGACCAACAAAAUUUUUGUUUCCUAUCUCCAUAAUUUUGCCAAACACUACUUAAAUGUUUCACUUGCCUUAUUUAAUGCCUUAUUUAAUUCUUCUUACUCUGUUCCAACACAAACUGGCCCCAGGGAAUGAGGACCAGUCCUUUACUGUGGGAUCAAAGAAAGAGGCAAUCCUAGGACUGUGCGGAUGGGGCUUACUGAGAACUUACAGACAGCAACUGGGGCCUACAUGGCAGCAAGAUCAAUGGCUCUUGGAAUUUGGGUUAGAUAAGGAGACUUACAUUGUGGUCAGAACAGAAGUGACUUCAAAAUAAUAAAAUUUUAAAAAGUGA